GUUAAAAAGCUCGUAGUUGGAUCUCGGCGGUCUGAGGGCGGUUCGCUUGAUUGAGUGCUACUGCUCUAUAGGCCGAGGUUUUGCCAGAGGUCUCGGGGUGCUCUUAACCGAGUGUCCUGCGAUGCUGGCAGGUUUACUUUGAAAAAAUUAGAGUGCUCAAAGCAGGCUUUUACGCCUGAAUAUUCGUGCAUGGAAUAAUAGAAUAGGAAGUCGUUUCUAUUUUGUUGGUUUUCGGAAAUCGACUUAAUGAUUAAUAGGGACAGUCGGGGGCAUUUGUAUUCAAACGACAGAGGUGAAAUUCUUGGACCGUUUGAAGACAAACUACUGCGAAAGCAUUUGCCAAGAAUGUUUUCAUUAAUCAAGAACGAAAGUUAGAGGUUCGAAGGCGAUUAGAUACCGCCCUAGUUCUAACCAUAAACGAUGCCAGCUAGCGAUCUGCCGACGUUUUCUUUGUAGACUCGGCAGGAAGCUUCCGGGAAACCAAAGCAUUUGGGUUCCAGGGGAAGUAUGGUUGCAAAGCUGAAACUUAAAGGAAUUGACGGAAGGGCACCACCAGGAGUGGAGCCUGUGGCUUAAUUUGACUCA
rnacentral:rRNA from 1 species